rnacentral:rRNA from 1 species
UACGUAGGGUGCGAGCGUUAAUCGGAAUUACUGGGCGUAAAGCGUGCGCAGGCGGUUUGCUAAGACCGAUGUGAAAUCCCCGGGCUCAACCUGGGAACUGCAUUGGUGACUGGCAGGCUAGAGUACGGCAGAGGGGGAUGGAAUUCCGCGUGUAGCAGUGAAAUGCGUAGAGAUGCGGAGGAACACCGAUGGCGAAGGCAGCCCCCUGGGCUAGCACUGACGCUCAGGCACGAAAGCGUGGGGAGCAAACAGG